rnacentral:lncRNA from 1 species
CAUAAUUAAAUACAGAAGAAAUAUGGACAAUCUUUCAGCAUCACAGAUCAUGUCCACUAGUGUCUGAAAUCUAAGCCUACAAUUAAUCAAAUAAAGUAUUUUUUAGGAUAAAAAUUUACAUUGUUUAUGGUAAAAAAAAGCAUGCCCAAAGCGAAUCAUUUCUUGUGAUUAGGUAAAUUAUUCAUUAAAUCUUGCCAGCAUUCCUAGGUAGAAACAUCCUUUGUAAAUUAUUCUAUCUCUUAUGAAUUUUUUUAUAAUUAUUGAGGUGGUGGUGGUAAGUCGAAGUCUAAAUGCUAGGUGAUCAAUUAAUUUGGCCAUUAAUGAUAGUACUUUUAAAUUUAAAUAUACACGUACUCGUAUUUUUAAAGUAUGAAAUGUUUAGUUUCUUUGUGCAAGUACAAAUUAUAGUUGAAUCGUAACACAAAAAACAAAUAACAUUACGUGUGGAUAAUUAUUUUAUUUAAUAAAAAAGGUAAAAAAUUCAUAGUUAAAAUAAAUGGAAAUGUGAAUAAUCAAAUUUUGUCAAAUCAACUAUUGGAUUUUUAGUUAGAUAUCAUUAUGAUUAAUAAAAAAUAUGUUUAAUUUUAUAUAUCAAUAUCACUAAAAAUUGAUGUAACUCCUCAAAAUUUUAUGUUCGAUUCUCCGCAAUUUUUUAAGAGUGUUCGUAUUUUCCAUAUUCUAAUAUUCUACGGAUACGAUGAAUAAACAAGACGAUAUAGUGUGUGAAAGUCGUAUACCAAAUUGAUUAAUCAACUUUUCCUAAAAAAUAAAAAAUCAAUUAACUUUAUUCUAACUCAUUUUAAUUAACUUUAUGCAAUCAAACUUAAUUACAAUAUUAAAUUAUGAUAAGUGGGAAUCACAUUCACGUGUUUGGAGAGCUGCCGGUCACAAAGGGACAGAUGGUCCUAAUCUAGUAGGACCCACAUAGACCCAAAAAGAUCCCAUCCUACAAAAUCAAAUAAAAAUAAAUAAAAUAAAAAAUCUCUCACCCAUUAUUUUUGUAUUGUCCUUGUUAGGGACUCUACCUUUGGCAUUUGUACCUGACCUAAGUUGGGUCCACUUCAAGAGGUUGUGGUUUCUUGUGUCCCUAAACUGCAUCAAAUCAACAAACAUUAUAUUAUAGCUUUUAUUUUUCUGUAUGAAUACAUAAACAAAUUUUGGACUAUCUAAGUAGUGUUUUAAUUUAGUGGGACUGUGACACUGUAUGUAUGGAAGGUGGUGGUGACUGGUCGAUUGAUAUGGAAAAUUUUCUUUGAACAAUGAAUGUGAAACAUAACAUGGUGACUACUGCUAGUGCUAGCUAAGCUACUUGCUUUUCCAAUGAAGUGGAGUAGAUGGGGGAGGGUAAAUUAUAUAGUAGUAGUAGUAUUUACUGUUAUAUUCUAAUUUACUAUUUACUAUUAUUUGCU